rnacentral:misc_RNA from 1 species
AACGCAUAUUGCGCUGGAGGCUUCGGCCAACAGCAUGUCUGCCUCAGCGUCGGGUUAAUAUCACCACCCAACUACACAUUGAUUGUGUGGUUGGCUAUGUUGGUGGAUCUGGCUGUUCCAGCGAAUGGCGGUGUGUUGUAUACUUGUAUACAUAUACACCAGUAGUCCUGCUGGAUCAGCUGAAGUUCAGAGGCUAACUAAGGACCCGUAUACAUGGGCCGCAACUGGGUAGGUGGUGGCUAUAUCCUUCACCGGAUAGCAGCUAUUCACAAACGCUUAGUUGUUGGUCUGGGGACUUACUCGUUCGGCCCUCAACCAGGAAACUUAACCCAUCCUUCAUUAUCUCGACCUGAGCUCAGGCAAGAACACCCGCUGAACUUAA